ACCGUACUCCCUUUGUCCCAAAAUUCUUGUUUUAGAUUUGUCUUGAUAUGAAUGUAUCUAGUCAUGUUUUGGUAUUUAGAUACAUUCAUUUCUAGACAAACAUAAGACAAAAAAUUUAAGACGGAGGAAGUACUUA
rfam:Hordeum vulgare subsp. vulgare, WGS project CAJW01000000 data, contig: morex_contig_210433